GCUCAGGAUGAACGCUGGCGGCGUGCUUAACACAUGCAAGUCGAACGAGAAGAGAUGAGAAGCUUGCUUCUUAUCAAUUCGAGUGGCAAACGGGUGAGUAACGCGUAAGCAACCUGCCCUUCAGAUGGGGACAACAGCUGGAAACGGCUGCUAAUACCGAAUACGUUCUUUCCGCCGCAUGACGGGAUGAAGGAAGGGAGGCCUUCGGGCUUUCGCUGGAGGAGGGGCUUGCGUCUGAUUAGCUGGUUGGAGGGGUAACGGCCCACCAAGGCGACGAUCAGUAGCCGGUCUGAGAGGAUGAACGGCCACAUUGGGACUGAGACACGGCCCAGACUCCUACGGGAGGCAGCAGUA
rnacentral:rRNA from 1 species